GACAGCAUGGUGUAGUGGUUUGAGCAUGAGACUGUGACUCUGGAGACCAGGGUUCGAGUCCCGACUCGGCCA